rnacentral:rRNA from 1 species
CUACGGGUGGCUGCAGUGGGGAAUAUUGGACAAUGGGCGCAAGCCUGAUCCAGCAAUGCCGCGUGAGUGAAGACGGCCUUAGGGUUGUAAAACUCUUUCGCUAGGGGAGAUAAUGACUGUACCUAGUAAAGAAGUCCCGGCUAACUCCGUGCCAGCAGCCGCGGUAAUACGGAGGGGACUAGCGUUGUUCGGAAUUACUGGGCGUAAAGAGUUCGUAGGCGGACUGACAAGUUAGAGGUGAAAUCCCAGGGCUCAACCCUGGAACUGCCUUUAAAACUGUCAGUCUAGAGACCGGAAGAGGUUAGGGGAAUACCUAGUGUAGAGGUGAAAUUCGUAGAUAUUAGGUGGAACACCAGUGGCGAAGGCGCCUAACUGGUCCGGUACUGACGCUGAGGAACGAAAGCGUGGGGAGCAAACAGGAUUAGAUACCCUCGUAGUC